rnacentral:rRNA from 1 species
GUACUCGAGCGGCGAACGGGUGAGUAACACGUGAGUAACCUGCCCCAGGCUUUGGGAUAACCCCGGGAAACCGGGGCUAAUACCGGAUAUGACCAUCUGUCGCAUGGUGGGUGGUGGAAAGAUUUUUUGGCUUGGGAUGGGCUCGCGGCCUAUCAGCUUGUUGGUGGGGUGAUGGCCUACCAAGGCGGCGACGGGUAGCCGGCCUGAGAGGGCGACCGGCCACACUGGGACUGAGACACGGCCCAGACUCCUACGGGAGGCAGCAGUGGGGAAUCUUGCACAAUGGGCGGAAGCCUGAUGCAGCGACGCCGCGUGAGGGAUGACGGCCUUCGGGUUGUAAACCUCUUUCAGCAGGGACGAAGCGUUUGUGACGGUACCUGCAGAAGAAGCGCCGGCCAACUACGUGCCAGCAGCCGCGGUAAGACGUAGGGCGCAAGCGUUGUCCGGAUUUAUUGGGCGUAAAGAGCUCGUAGGCGGCUUGUCGCGUCGACUGUGAAAACCCGUGGCUCAACUGCGGGCUUGCAGUCGAUACGGGCAGGCUAGAGUUCGGUAGGGGAGACUGGAAUUCCUGGUGUAGCGGUGAAAUGCGCAGAUAUCAGGAGGAACACCGGUGGCGAAAGCGGGUCUCUG